rnacentral:rRNA from 1 species
GAGUUUGAUCGUGGCUCAGAACGAACGCUGGCGGCAGGCCUAAAACAUGCAAGUCGAACGAUGUAGCAAUACAUAGUGGCGCACGGGUGAGUAACGCGUGGGAACGUACCUCUAGGUGAGGAACAACGUCGGGAAACUGACGCUAAUACCUCAUAAUAUCUUCGGAUCAAAGAUUUAUCGCCUAGAGAUCGGCCCGCGUUAGAUUAGCUAGUUGGUGGGGUAAAAGCUUACCAAGGCGACGAUCUAUAGCUGGUCUGAGAGGAUGAUCAGCCACACUGGGACUGAGACACGGCCCAGACUCCUACGGGAGGCAGCAGUUAGGAAUAUUGGACAAUGGGGGCAACCCUGAUCCAGCCAUGCCGCGUGUGUGACGAAGGCCUUAGGGUUGUAAAGCACUUUCGUCUGCGAAGAUAAUGACAGUAACAGAAGAAGAAGCUCCGGCUAAAUUCGUGCCAGCAGCCGCAGUAAU